CCUACGUGAGGCAGCAGUGAGGAAUAUUGGUCAAUGGGCGGAAGCCUGAACCCGCCAAGUCGCGUGAGGGAUUAAGGCCCUGCGGGUCGUAAACCUCUUUUGCCGGGGAGCAGAGGUCCGGAAGUGUCCGGGCCGGGAGGGUACCCGGAGAAAAAGCAUCGGCUAACUCCGUGCCAGCAGCAGCGGUAAUCCGGAGGAUGCGAGCGUUAUCCGGAUUUAUUGGGUUUAAAGGGUGAGUAGGCGGUCAUUUAAGCCGGCGGUCCAAUGUCGGGGCUCAACCCCGGCCUGCCGUCGGAACUGGGUGCCUUGAGUGGGCGAGAAGUAUGCUGAAUGCGUGGUGUAGCGGUGAAAUGCAGAGAUAUCACGCAGAACCCCGAUUGCGAAGGCAGCAUACCGGCGCCCUACUGACGCUGAGGCACGAAAGUGCGGGUAUCGAACAGGAUUAGAUACCCGUGUAGUC
rnacentral:rRNA from 1 species